rnacentral:rRNA from 1 species
GAAUUUUCCGCAAUGGGCGAAAGCCUGACGGAGCAAUACCGCGUGAGGGAGGAAGGCUCUUGGGUUGUAAACCUCUUUUCUCAAGGAAUAAGAAAGUGGAGGUACUUGAGGAAUAAGCAUCGGCUAACUCCGUGCCAGCAGCCGCGGUAAUACGGAGGAUGCAAGCGUUAUCCGGAAUGAUUGGGCGUAAAGCGUCCGCAGGUGGUGAUGAAAGUCUGCUGUCAAAGAAUCAGGCUUAACCUGAUAGAGGCAGUGGAAACUACAUGACUAGAGUGCGUUCGGGGCAGAAGGAAUUCCUGGUGUAGCGGUGAAAUGCGUAGAUAUCAGGAAGAACACCGGUGGCGGAAGCGUUCUGCUAGGCCGUAACUGACACUGAGGGACGAAAGCUAGGGGAGCGAAUGGG